rnacentral:rRNA from 1 species
GCCGCGUGAGUGAUGAAGGUUUUCGGAUCGUAAAGCUCUGUUGUUAGGGAAGAACAAGUGCGAGAGUAACUGCUCGCACCUUGACGGUACCUAACCAGAAAGCCACGGCUAACUACGUGCCAGCAGCCGCGGUAAUACGUAGGUGGCAAGCGUUGUCCGGAAUUAUUGGGCGUAAAGGGCUCGCAGGCGGUUUCUUAAGUCUGAUGUGAAAGCCCCCGGCUCAACCGGGGAGGGUCAUUGGAAACUGGGAAACUUGAGUGCAGAAGAGGAGAGUGGAAUUCCACGUGUAGCGGUGAAAUGCGUAGAGAUGUGGAGGAACACCAGUGGCGAAGGCGACUCUCUGGUCUGUAACUGACGCUGAGGAGCGAAAGCGUGGGGAGCGAACAGGAUUAGAUACCCUGGUAGUCCACGCCGUAAACGAUGAGUGCUAAGUGUUAGGGGGUUUCCGCCCCUUAGUGCUGCAGCUAACGCAUUAAGCACUCCGCCUGGGGAGUACGGUCGCAAGACUGAAACUCAAAGGAAUUGACGGGGGCCCGCACAAGCGGUGGAGCAUGUGGUUUAAUUCGAAGCAACGCGAAGAACCUUACCAGGUCUUGACAUCCUCUGACAACCCUAGAGAUAGGGCUUUCCCUUCGGGGACAGAGUGACAGGUGGUGCAUGGUUGUCGUCAGCUCGUGUCGUGAGAUGUUGGGUUAAGUCCCGCAACGAGCGCAACCCUUGAUCUUAGUUGCCAGCAUUCAGUUGGGCACUCUAAGGUGACUGCCGGUGACAAACCGGAGGAAGGUGGGGAUGACGUCAAAUCAUCAUGCCCCUUAUGACCUGGGCUACACACGUGCUACAAUGGACAGAACAAAGGGCUGCAAGACCGCAAGGUUUAGCCAAUCCCAUAAAUCUGUUCUCAGUUCGGAUCGCAGUCUGCAACUCGACUGCGUGAAGCUGGAAUCGCUAGUAAUCGCGGA